rnacentral:rRNA from 1 species
AUGGCCAAUAGCAAGUAUGAGUAUGUGAAGAGGGAGUUCGAGUUCAAUCGCCAGCUCCCGGCCUCCAACUGGAUCGUCCUCCGCAUCGAUGGUUGCCACUUCCACCGAUUCUCGGAGUUGCAUGCCUUUGAGAAACCAAAUGACGAGAGCGCUUUACGAUUGAUGAACGCCUGUGCCACUUCUAUGCUCAAGAAAUACAAUGACAUAGUGUUUGCUUACGGUGCUAGCGAUGAGUACAGUUUUGUCUUUAGAGAAGAAACAGAAUUAUAUAAUAGGCGAGAAAGCAAAAUUCUCUCUAAAUGUGUUUCUUACUUCACAUCUGUAUACAUGAGGAAGUGGAAAGAUUUCUUUCCUAAUAAUGAUUUGAAGGAACUUCCAUACUUUGAUGCGCGAGUUGUAUGCUAUCCAAAUAUGAAGACUGUUCGUGAUUAUUUGGCAUGGAGACAAGUGGAUUGUCAUAUAAAUAAUCAGUACAAUACAUGCUUCUGGAUGUUGAUACAGUCCGGAAAAACCAAAAAUGAGGCAUAUCAAGCAUUGAAGGGAACAUCUUCUAAGGAUAAGAACAAGUUGCUUUUGCAACAGUUCCAAAUCAACUAUAAUGAUGAAUCGGCUAUGUUUCGGAAAGGAUCCACUGUUUAUCGAGAUAAGGUCACGAAGGUGAAAACAGACGACUAUGGGAAUCCCAUAAAAAGAACCCGUCAGGCAAUUAUAGUGUCAAAUUUUGAUAUCAUAGGUCCCGAGUUUUGGGAAAAACAUCAAUACAUUCUUGGAAAAGCAUCAGACUGCCAGUAUCUUUGGGGGAAAGAAAAAUAUGGAUACGAGUAUGUGAAGAAGUUUGUUAACAUCCCUAGGUCUCCAUGUUCCAAUUGGACCAUUGUUCGUAUUAGCGCCUGCCAAUUUGAUCAAUUCUCACUGAUCCAUUCAUUUGACAAGCCAAAUGAUGAGACCGCUUUAAGAUUGAUGAACGCUUCUGCUUCACUGAUGAUGGAGCAAUUUCCUGAUAUUAUCUUUGGCUAUGGUUUUAACAACGAGUACAGCUUUGUGUUCCAGGAGAACACUGAAUUGUACAAUAGAGAGGAGAGUUGA